rnacentral:rRNA from 1 species
UACGUAGGGUGCGAGCGUUAAUCGGAAUUACUGGGCGUAAAGCGUGCGCAGGCGGUUUUGUAAGCCAGAUGUGAAAUCCCCGGGCUUAACCUGGGAAUGGCAUUUGGGACUGCAAGGCUUGAGUGCGGCAGAGGAGACUGGAAUUCCUGGUGUAGCAGUGAAAUGCGUAGAUAUCAGGAGGAACACCAAUGGCGAAGGCAGCUCGCUGGGACGGUACUGACGCUGAUGCACGAAAGCUAGGGGAGCAAACAGG